rnacentral:lncRNA from 10 species
CGCGAAAAGAAAGACUGAAAAUGCCAUCUGACCAGUUGAAGGGAAUCAGGGGAAGCUUUCUAAAGGAAGUGGCAUUUGGUCUAUACGUUGAGGGGCAGGUAAAUAUCUGAGUGGAAUGACUGGAUCAUAUGAUAAGGAGUUCAUAUGCUGGAAUGAUAGUGACACAGGAGUUUAACACUCCUACAGUAUCCAGAGCCUGGAUCCCUGAGUCAUCAGAUGGAGAAGAACUACUCAGGAGAGUCAUCCAACCUUCAUAGACAGUGGCAUGAGUGGGAAUUAAACAUUGAUUAUGUUAAGCCAUUGCAGUUUGGGGUUGUUUGUUACAGAAGUGUUCAUUUUCCCUUAUUGACCCA